AUGAACGCUGGCGGCGUGCUUAACACAUGCAAGUCGAACGAUUAAGACGGCUUCGGCCGUGUAUAGAGUGGCGAACGGGUGAGUAACACGUGACCAACCUGCCCCGCGCUCCGGGACAACCGCUGGAAACGGCGGCUAAUACCGGAUGCUCCGGGGAGGCCCCAUGGCCUCCCCGGGAAAGCCUUAACGGCGCGGGAUGGGGUCGCGGCCCAUUAGGUAGACGGCGGGGUAACGGCCCACCGUGCCCGCGAUGGGUAGCCGGACUGAGAGGUCGACCGGCCACAUUGGGACUGAGAUACGGCCCAGACUCCUACGGGAGGCAGCAGUGGGGAAUUUUGCGCAAUGGGGGCAACCCUGACGCAGCAACGCCGCGUGCGGGACGAAGGCCUUCGGGUUGUAAACCGCUUUCAGCAGGGAAGACUUUGACGGUACCUGCAGAAGAAGCUCCGGCUAACUACGUGCCAGCAGCCGCGGUAAUACGUAGGGGGCGAGCGUUAUCCGGAUUCAUUGGGCGUAAAGCGCGCGUAGGCGGCCGCCUAAGCGGAACCUCUAAUCCCGGGGCUCAACCUCGGGCCGGGUUCCGGACUGGGCGGCUCGAGUGCGGUAGAGGCAGGCGGAAUUCCCGGUGUAUCGGUGGAAUGCGCAGAUAUCGGGAAGAACACCGAUGGCGAAGGCAGCCUGCUGGGCCGCCACUGACGCUGAGGCGCGAAAGCUGGGGGAGCGAACAGGAUUAGAUACCCUGGUAGUCCCAGCCGUAAACGAUGGGCGCUAGGUGUGGGGGGACAGUCCCCCCGUGCCGCAGCCAACGCAUUAAGCGCCCCGCCUGGGGAGUACGGCCGCAAGGCUAAAACUCAAAGGAAUUGACGGGGGCCCGCACAAGCAGCGGAGCAUGUGGCUUAAUUCGAAGCAACGCGAAGAACCUUACCAGGUCUUGACAUUGAUCGCGAUCUGCAGAAAUGCGGAGUUCUUCUUCGGAAGACGAGAAAACAGGUGGUGCACGGCUGUCGUCAGCUCGUGUCGUGAGAUGUUGGGUUAAGUCCCGCAACGAGCGCAACCCCCGUCCCGUGUUGCCAGCAUUCAGUUGGGGACUCGCGGGAGACUGCCGGCGUCAAGCCGGAGGAAGGUGGGGACGACGUCAAGUCAUCAUGCCCCUUAUGCCCUGGGCUGCACACGUGCUACAAUGGCCGGUACAGAGGGUUGCCACCCCGCGAGGGGGAGCGGAUCCCGGAAAGCCGGUCCCAGUUCGGAUCGCAGGCUGCAACCCGCCUGCGUGAAGUCGGAGUUGCUAGUAAUCGCGGAUCAGCAUGCCGCGGUGAAUACGUUCCCGGGCCUUGUACACACCGCCCGUCACACCACCCGAGUCGUCUGCACCCGAAGCCGCCGGCCGAACCCGAAAGGGGCGGAGGCGUCGAAGGUGUGGAGGGUAAGGGGGGUG
rnacentral:rRNA from 1 species